AUUGAACGCUGGCGGCAUGCCUUACACAUGCAAGUCGAACGGCAGCACGGGGGCAACCCUGGUGGCGAGUGGCGAACGGGUGAGUAACGCAUCGGAACGUGCCAGUAGUGGGGGAUAACACAUCGAAAGAUGUGCUAAUACCGCAUGAGACCUGAGGGUGAAAGCGGGGGAUCGCAAGACCUCGCGCGAUAGGAGCGGCCGAUGGCGGAUUAGCUAGUUGGUAGGGUAAAGGCCUACCAAGGCGACGAUCCGUAGCUGGUCUGAGAGGACGACCAGCCACACUGGGACUGAGACACGGCCCAGACUCCUACGGGAGGCAGCAGUGGGGAAUUUUGGACAAUGGGGGAAACCCUGAUCCAGCCACUCCGCGUGAGUGAAGAAGGCCUUCGGGUUGUAAAGCUCUUUCGGCAGGAACGAAAAGGUGGGGGCGAAUAACCCUCAUUGAUGACGGUACCUGAAGAAGAAGCACCGGCUAACUACGUGCCAGCCGCCGCGGUAACAC
rnacentral:rRNA from 1 species